rnacentral:rRNA from 1 species
UGGGGAAUUUUGGACAAUGGGCGCAAGCCUGAUCCAGCCAUGCCGCGUGCGGGAAGAAGGCCUUCGGGUUGUAAACCGCUUUUGUCAGGGAAGAAAUCUUCUGAGUUAAUACCUCGGGAGGAUGACGGUACCUGAAGAAUAAGCACCGGCUAACUACGUGCCAGCAGCCGCGGUAAUACGUAGGGUGCAAGCGUUAAUCGGAAUUACUGGGCGUAAAGCGUGCGCAGGCGGUUUUGUAAGACAGAGGUGAAAUCCCCGGGCUCAACCUGGGAACCGCCUUUGUGACUGCAAGGCUUGAGUGCGGCAGAGGGGGAUGGAAUUCCGCGUGUAGCAGUGAAAUGCGUAGAUAUGCGGAGGAACACCGAUGGCGAAGGCAAUCCCCUGGGCCUGCACUGACGCUCAUGCACGAAAGCGUGGGGAGCAAACAGGAUUAGAUACCCUGGUAGUCCACGCCCUAAACGAUGUCAACUGGUUGUUGGGAAGGUUCCUUCUCAGUAACGUAGCUAACGCGUGAAGUUGACCGCCUGGGGAGUACGGCCGCAAGGUUAAAACUCAAAUGAAUUGACGGGGUCAUAGCUGUUUCCUG